rnacentral:rRNA from 1 species
CCCGACGUCGCUGGGCUAACUUCCCUUUCUUUAUAGAUUGGGCAGGGGCAGGCGCCUAAGGUAUGGUUGAUAACUGGGGUGAAGUCGUAACAAGGUAGCCGUACCGGAAGGUGCGGCUGGAACACCUCCUUU